rnacentral:rRNA from 1 species
AUGGUCUCAGAGGCGCAUAACAACCGUGCGGAGUACGACAAGUCUUUGCAUGAAGCGCGCCGGGAGAUCAACUUGAAGGUGCAAAAGGAUCGCGAUGAGGUAGAUAAGAAACUCAAAAAAGAACGUUCAUACGUGGACAGGAUGAUAAAGGAGGAGCAUGAGGAGUUUUCCCGUCAGAUGGCGAAGAUGCGUCUUGAGAUUGAAGAAAAGUAUAAGCGGGACUGUAAGGACAUGGAAAAAAAAGUUUUUCCUUGGCUACAAGGAAAUGCAUCAAACGUUGCAGAAGGAUCGGAAGCUUGUGGACAGUAUUAUACAGACAGAGCGAGUCAGGAUGGAUGCCUAUGUGUUGCAGGCACGUGCGGAUAUGGACAGUAA